rnacentral:rRNA from 1 species
AGCGAACGCUGGCGGCAGGCUUAACACAUGCAAGUCGAGCGGGCAUCUUCGGGUGUCAGCGGCGGACGGGUGAGUAACGCGUGGGAACGUGCCUUCUGGUUCGGAAUAACUCAGGGAAACUUGAGCUAAUACCGGAUACGCCCUUUUGGGGAAAGGUUUACUGCCGGAAGAUCGGCCCGCGUCUGAUUAGCUAGUUGGUGGGGUAACGGCCUACCAAGGCGACGAUCAGUAGCUGGUCUGAGAGGAUGAUCAGCCACACUGGGACUGAGACACGGCCCAG